AGAACGAACGCUGGCGGCAUGCCUAACACAUGCAAGUCGAACGCUUUUGGGGCUUCGGUCCCAAAGGAGUGGCGCACGGGUGAGUAGCGCGUGGGAACCUGCCCUGUUGUGGGGGAUAACCGAGGGAAACUUCGGCUAAUACCGCAUACGCCCGGGGGAAACUCCGGGGAAAGAUUUAUCGCAGCAGGAGGGGCCCGCGUCGGAUUAGGUAGUUGGUGGGGUAACGGCCCACCAAGCCUGUGAUCCGUAGCUGGUCUGAGAGGAUGAUCAGCCACACUGGGACUGAGACACGGCCCAGACUCCUACGGGAGGCAGCAGUGGGGAAUAUUGGACAAUGGGCGCAAGCCUGAUCCAGCAAUGCCGCGUGAGUGAUGAAGGCCUUCGGGUUGUAAAGCUCUUUCGCACGCGACGAUGAUGACGGUAGCGUGAGAAGAAGCCCCGGCUAACUUCGCGCCAGCAGCCGC
rnacentral:rRNA from 1 species